UUUUUCAAUUAAAAAAUGUCCAUGAAAACGAGUCAUCUCUCAAUGAAUGACAACAAAAUCUUAAUUGAAGAAUCCCUACUGUUGACCAAUCACAGACAAAGGGGUGUAGACUUCGGCUCCGUACUUCGGCUUGCCACUAUAAAAAAAAAAUGGGUGCCCAAACCGCCUUAAAAAACGUCACCGAAGUCCAAAACGUCACAAAAUGUUGUCAUAAUAUAUGCACAAAUUCUACCAAACUGUUUCGGCUGGAAAGCAAGCGGUCGCCGUUACCCUGCCGUGAAGUUUUGAUAACCGUUUAAAUCUCUCUAGUACAAGGUGAUUUAUCAAUAUAUUCACCUGUAUUUACCCCCCAAAAAUGAAAUAGCCACAUUAGCAGCUAAUUAGUAUCACAAAGAACCACAAAUACCAUGAUUUGGAAGAGACUGCUGAAAUGAGGCAAAGACCUCCAUCAGCUCUGUCUCCCAGAAGAGGUCCCCCCUGAACAGCAGCAGUGGAGCCCCAGUCUGAAGCAGGAGAAUCCAGAGACCACACAAAUUAAAGAGGAACAUGAGGAACUCUGGACCAGUCAGGGGGGAGAGCAGCUUAAAGAGCUAGAGUCGGAUACCAAAGAAUUCAUAUUUACUCCUGCUUUUGUCGAAAAUCAGGGCCCACCUCAGCCCUCACAUCUUUUCCAAAUGCAAAUUGUGGAGUCCCCUACCAGUACAACUAAAGAGAUCAAGAUGAAACCAAGUCACAUUGGUGAAAACCCUUGUCUUGUUUGUGGCAAAUGUUUCAACUGUAAAUCUGCUCUGGAAAGGCAUAUGAGGGCCCAUACUGGGGAGAAACCUUAUUGCUGCAGUGAAUGUGGCAAAUGCUUUAGUCAGAUCGGACAUCUGACAGUGCAUAUGAGGGGACACACAGGGGAGAAACCAUUUAGGUGUAAUAUUUGUGGCAAACUGUUUUAUUGGGAAUCUGAUCUGAAAAGGCAUAAGAGGACCCAUACCGGGGAGAAACCUUAUGGCUGCAAUGAAUGUGGCAAAUGCUUCCGUCAGAUCGGACAUCUGACUGUGCAUAUGAGGCGACACUCAGGGGAGAAACCACACAAGUGUCCUCUGUGCAGAAAAUGUUUUACCACAGCAUUUCAAUUAAGAUUACAUACAGCAAGUCAUACAGGGGAGAAACAGUAUUGCUGUCAAUAUUGUGGUAAAUGCUUCAACCAGAAAAUAAGUCUGACUAAACAUUUGAGUGCACACACAGGGGAGAAAUUACAGUAGUGCAAGGAAUGUGGCAAAUCCUUCAGAUAGAAGGGAACUCUGAGCAACCAUAUGAGGCAUCACACAUAGGAGGAAAUAAUGCAGAAAAUUUUUCAACCUGAGUGGAAAACUGAACAUUUUGAUUAUUCACACUGGAGAGAAACAAUAUACAGUGGGUAUAAAAAAAAAAGUAUUCACUCCUUUUGACUUUUUCAAGUUGUGUUAUAAUGUUGGGUUGAAAUGCUGGCCUGCCUCUAACAUUUAUGCUACCUGCCAACCCAUUUGUUGCCAUUUGUUCCAUUGUUUAUGUUUGUUCUUGGUGUCUGUUUCUUUUAUGGUAUGCACGCUAUACAAUGUAAGCUCACCACUUUGCUGUAAUCAGAUAACUGGACAUUAUUUCAUUAAGGAAAUAAAUACAUAUUUCCUUUAUUAUCUCUGACGAUGUCAAAUGACCAUGCUGACAUAUAUUCAAGCUCUGAAAGUGUAAGGACAUUUUCUGAGUGAUUUAUAAUAAUCAAUAAAUGUACCGUACCAUAUUAAA